rnacentral:rRNA from 1 species
AUUGAACGCUGGCGGCAUGCUUUACACAUGCAAGUCGAACGGUAACAGGCCGCAAGGUGCUGACGAGUGGCGAACGGGUGAGUAAUGCAUCGGAACGUGCCCAGUCGUGGGGGAUAACUACUCGAAAGAGUAGCUAAUACCGCAUACGAUCUAUGGAUGAAAGCGGGGGACCGUAGGGCCUCGCGCGAUUGGAGCGGCCGAUGUCAGAUUAGGUAGUUGGUGGGGUAAAGGCUCACCAAGCCAACGAUCUGUAGCUGGUCUGAGAGGACGACCAGCCACACUGGGACUGAGACACGGCCCAGACUCCUACGGGAGGCAGCAGUGGGGAAUUUUGGACAAUGGGCGCAAGCCUGAUCCAGCAAUGCCGCGUGCAGGAAGAAGGCCUUCGGGUUGUAAACUGCUUUUGUACGGAACGAAACGGCUCUGGUUAAUACCCGGGGCUAAUGACGGUACCGUAAGAAUAAGCACCGGCUAACUACGUG